rnacentral:rRNA from 1 species
AUGAGCUUCGCCCCACAGCCUAGCUCAUACCAAAACAAUUACUCAUAUGGGUGGCCUGAAAACCAGAAUAUGUCAUAUAGGAGCAACAACCUUGAGAUCUCACCGUUUGCUUCUAGUAAUCAUAUGCAGGGAUUUAGGUAUGAAGAGGAGAGCAACAACUAUGCACCACAACAAUUUUAUUCACCUCCUACUCAUAUACCUCAACACCAGGAGAUGUGUCCAAUGGAGUUAAAUGGUCCUCCACUUGGUCAACCAAUAACUCCAGCACAUGUUGAGCAAUCUCAUGCACAAGUGCCCACACAAGAUGACUUUGAUGAUAUAGACAAGCUCACAUUGCUUAGUCUCGAGUUCACUUGGAGUGUUGAAGAUGAUCCAAUUAGGCCGAUGAUACUAGAUGAAAUGAACAAGAUCAAGAGUGGAAAAGAGCUAGUGAAAGAAGUAAGGAAAAUUGAGAAGAAUAUCAAUGCCGGGUGCAGUAUCUCAUCCCUCCUUGAGCUGAGUGUUGCUGGGAUAUCCCUUGUGGUGUGUGAGGUUUCAACACCGUCACAUUCAGCUGAGCAAGAUAGCAAGAGUCCAGAGGAAGAGACACUUCAGAUCCAAGAAGAAAUACUUGAAGACAAGGAACAAGAUGAUCCUGAGCUGCAUCUAACGCCCAUGAUGUGGCUAUAUCUCCCACGUGUCGAAGCACGACUUAGAGGCAUAACCGCAUUGUAA